rnacentral:rRNA from 1 species
GAAGCCACCAGAGAUGGUGGUCUUUUUGGGCACUCGUACACAGGUGGUGCAUGGUUGUCGUCAGCUCGUGUCGUGAGAUGUUGGGUUAAGUCCCGCAACGAGCGCAACCCUCGUUCCCAUGUUGCCAGCGGGUUAUGCCGGGGACUCAUGGGAGACUGCCGGGGUCAACUCGGAGGAAGGUGGGGAUGAUGUCAAAUCAUCAUGCCCCUUAUGUUUUGGGUUUCACGCAUGCUACAAUGGCCGGUACAAAGGGCUGCGAUACCGUAAGGUGGAGCGAAUCCCAAAAAGCCGGUCUCAGUUUCGGAUUAGGGGUUUGCAACUCGACCCCAUGAAGUCGGAGUCGCUAGUAAUCGCAGAUCAGCAACGCUGCGGUGAAUACGUUUCCGGGCCUUGUACACACCGCCCGUCAAGUCUCGAAACUCGGUAACUCUUGACGGCCACACCGUAACC